rnacentral:rRNA from 1 species
GACGAACGCUGGCGGCGUGCUUAACACAUGCAAGUCGAACGGAAAGGCCCUGCUUUUGUGGGGUGCUCGAGUGGCGAACGGGUGAGUAACACGUGAGUAACCUGCCCUUGACUUUGGGAUAACUUCAGGAAACUGGGGCUAAUACCGGAUAGGAGCUCCUGCUGCAUGGUGGGGGUUGGAAAGUUUCGGCGGUAGGGGAUGGACUCGCGGCUUAUCAGCUUGUUGGUGGGGUAGUGGCUUACCAAGGCUUUGACGGGUAGCCGGCCUGGGAGGGUGACCGGCCACAUUGGGCCUGAGAUACGGCCCAGACUCCUACGGGAGGCAGCAGUGGGGAAUAUUGCACAAUGGGCGGAAGCCUGAUGCAGCAACGCCGCGUGCGGGAUGACGGCCUUCGGGUUGUAAACCGCUUUCGCCUGUGACGAAGCGUGAGUGACGGUAAUGGGUAAAGAAGCACCGGCUAACUACGUG